CCAGCCUGGAUAGCAGCUGGCUUCUGUCAGUCCGUUCUGACAGACGCACUCGCAGGUGGAUUCUUCCAGAACCCUGUUGGGCCCACAGAGAGCCAGCAGACCCGAGUCCAGCGCCUCUGGAACAGAGAAACACGUUUGGAAGCAACGUUUAGAUGUACAUUUAUUAGGCCAGUGUGGACUGGAAGGUGAGACCUGCUUAUUGACCAGAGCUGGAAAUGAAAGGCUGUCCUGCGUUUCCAGCACAAGUGAUCAUCCCUGCUGAAGUGAAUGUACAGAGCUCUACCUGGGGUCCACGUUGGCCGUAGCCUCGUCAAUGAUGAGGAUGCGGUUCCUCCUCAGGAUGGCUCUGGCCAGACACACC